CCAGACUCCUACGGGAGGCAGCAGUGAGGAAUAUUGGUCAAUGGGCGGAAGCCUGAACCAGCCAAGUAGCGUGCAGGAAGACGGCCCUAUGGGUUGUAAACUGCUUUUAUACGAGAAUAAUUUGAUGCACGUGUGCGUUAUUGCAUGUAUCGUAUGAAUAAGGACCGGCUAAUUCCGUGCCAGCAGCCGCGGUAAUACGGAAGGUCCAGGCGUUAUCCGGAUUUAUUGGGUUUAAAGGGAGUGUAGGCGGUUUGUUAAGCGUGUUGUGAAAUUUAGAUGCUCAACAUUUAACUUGCAGCGCGAACUGUCAGACUUGAGUACACGCAACGUAUGCGGAAUUCAUGGUGUAGCGGUGAAAUGCUUAGAUAUCAUGAAGAACUCCGAUUGCGAAGGCAGCAUACGGGAGUGUAACUGACGCUUAAGCUCGAAGGUGCGGGUAUCGAACAGGAUUAGAUACCCUGGUAGUCCGCACAGUAAACGAUGGAUGCCCGCUGUUAGCGCCUGGCGUUAGCGGCUAAGCGAAAGCAUUAAGCAUCCCACCUGGGGAGUACGCCGGCAACGGUGAAACUCAAAGGAAUUGACGGGGGCCCGCACAAGAAGG
rnacentral:rRNA from 1 species